CAAUGCUUAAGAGCCACGAAAUAAGACAAUAUUUUUCUCUUUUUAUUGAGUUUAUCUCUUUUGUUCUUUGUAGAACACUUUUCGUUUCUUGGUGAGGUUAUCUCCGAGUAAACAUCCUCUAAUUCGUUGGACCUGUGCGUCAUAUCAGGCAACGUUUAGAAAUCUUUCUUUUGGUGGACUUGUGAGUCAUAUCAAAGCACCAACUGAAGUCUGGUAGUAUCAUUGGGCCAUCUGCAACCCAUUGUUUUACCAUUUAUUCCACCGUUCUCCCUUUUGGUGAGUUCAUAUCCUUUAAGUCCGAUUGAGUGAUCAUUCCCUAAUUUAGGACAUAUCAGCAUCAUAUCUUUGUUGUUCUUUUUUUGCAGGCCCGGUUGAAGGAAGCUAUUUGACCCUAAAGCGAAAUUCGUUUAGGCUCAUUAUAAUCUCAUAGUUAAUCAAUUAGCAUAAUUAACAAAAAGUAAUUAAUAAAGAAUAUUUAAUUAACAUAAAACAAUUAACUAAAAUUAUUUCUGUAGGACCCACCUAAUGUUGACAUGGCAUCUCAGAAAAUACUCAACUGAUUAUAUUAU
rnacentral:lncRNA from 1 species